UUGAGAUAUCGCCAAGUGGUAAGGCAAUGGACUUUGACUCUGUUAUUCAUAGGUUCGAAUCCUAUUAUCUCAGG
rnacentral:tRNA from 1 species